UACUGAGGAUGCAAGCGUUAUCCGGAUUUAUUGGGUUUAAAGGGUGCGCAGGUUGUUUGAUAAGUCAGUGGUGAAAGUCUGUCGCUUAACGGUAGGAUUGCCAUUGAUACUGUUAGACUUGAAUAUGGAUGAGGUAGGCGGAAUGUGUAGUGUAGCGGUGAAAUGCAUAGAUAUUACACAGAACACCGAUUGCGAAGGCAGCUUACUAAUCCAUCAUUGACGCUGAGGCACGAAAGCGUGGGGAUCAAA
rnacentral:rRNA from 1 species